UCUGUUUUCUCUGUUCAUCGAAAACCCUAAUCUAUGUUUUCUCCUUCAUCAUCUUCUUCUUCUUCUUCUUGAUCUCCCGUCCUCUUGUCUUGAGUCAAUCCCCAACGAUCGUGAUUGAUCUCUCCUUCCCCUUGUCUUGAGUCAGUCUCCAGCGAUCGUACGUGAUUGAUCUCCACCCGCUUGUCUUGAGUCAAUCCCCAACGAUAGAUAUCUCAGUUCAGGCUCUCCUCUCUCACCCUAAAUAAUAAAUAUCACCGGCGGUGAAGGAGAGAACGUCGGAAGAAAGAGAUCGGGGGAAGUGAAAGCGAUGAGUCCCUAAGAGAGAGACAAGGUUUCAAUGGCUUUUUUUUUUGUCGACAGAAUCACAUCAGCAGGAGAUAACGUCGGAGGAUACAGGCAUGAUCAGUUCUCGAUGGUUUCGACGAGACGAUGAUCAGUGAAAAAGGGUUUUUAUUUUGCAGGCUUGGCGGCGUGUGGUCACCGUUUAAUCUCGGGGUCUGUUUUUGUUUUGAUUCAAAAGGAGUUAAUGUUACGGGUCUGAUGAGGAAUCGGAAAUAAAAGCUUUGUUGCAGAUAUGUUGCCCUUCAAGUGUAUAUUGUUCAUGUUCUUAAGUUGGAUUUCACACCACUAAAUAAAGGAUCACGUGAAAAUGCUUUGAAGAAGUUUGAUGAUGGCCCAUUCUUCCUCGGCGAGCUUAGUUUUGACUUGGCUUGGUCACUCACCGUCUAAUUUUUGUUUUCGACAGAUUAGGAAUCAUGAUGCAUUUCUUGAUGGUUGGUCGGUUAUGAUCCAAAAGGAGUUAAAAGGUUUGUUUACUUGCUACUUAAUUACUACUAAACCUUGUUUUGCUUAGCUCUGUUGCAGAUAAGAAAAAGAUGAUGAUUCCUGGCUCUGUUGCAUAUAAUGAUGAUCCAUGUAAGAGGAUAUAGGAAGAGUUGGGGGCAGUGAAAGCUGCGAGUAUCUAAGAGAGAAGGUUUCAAUGGAUUUUGUCGACAUAAUCACAUCAUCAGGUUUUCAACAGCUGAUUUAAAAGGAGUCAAUGUGUCUGAGGAGUCAGAACCUAAAGGCUUGGAUUAGUCAUCAUUGUUUUAUUUUUGCUGCAAGCUUGGCUUGGUCACCGUCUACUCUCGGUCUGAUUUUGUUGUUUUCAACAGCUGAUUCAAAAGAAGUUAAUGGAAUUAGAAUUAAAGCUCUGUUGCAGAUAAGCUUAGUUCUCGAUGGUAGAUGAUGAUCCUUGUAAGAGGAUAGGAAGAGAUGGGGACUACGAGUGCCUAACACAGCAUGUUUCAGUGGCUUUUGUCAGACAGAAUUACAUCAUCAGGCUUGGCUUGUGCACCGUUUAAUCUCGGCUCUAAUUUUGUUUUCAACAGCUAAUUCAAAAGGAGUUGAUGGGUCUGAGGAAUCCGAAACAAAGGCUCUUCCUCUUUUCACUUUAUAGGUACACCAUCUCUACAUUCAACCUCUCAGAUCCCUUUAUGAGCUGUGCUCCCUCUUACUCUCUGUGUUUAGUUUGUUGUUUCGUAUGAUUAAAACAAAAACAAAAAUCCUCUAAUUUCCUACAGAAUCAAACUGAUGUUGAAGAUUAUCCCAGUGCCCGUAGCAUGGUCUCCAUAAUCCUUUCAAAUCUCCAGAGAGAGAGCAAGACACUGGCUAAGCUGAACUAGGACGUGGUUUUACACUCAAGCUGUCUCAUCAAAAUUUUUAUCUCCCUAUGCGUAAGACUUUAUGUCUUGACACUGUUGAUUUUGAAGGAGGUCAUGAUGUCUUUGAAACACUUCUACCUCGUUGCCCUUUGCUUGAAGAACUGCUUCUUGAGGAUCAGCGAUGAAAGUGUGGUAAUUCUGUGUCUUCUCCAUUACUAAAGAGACUACGCAUCCGAUUCUUUAAUACCCCCAUCAUCUCUCUUGAUGUUCCCAAUCUUGUCUACUUGGAACUUUCGUGUAUAUUUGGGAGCUGGUGAAAAUUCUUUCUGUACAAAACAUCCAAGUGCCCAUCUUUUGAAGCUUCCAAGAGCUUCAUCAAA